rnacentral:rRNA from 1 species
GACGAACGCUGGCGGCGUGCCUAAUACAUGCAAGUAGAACGCUGAAGGAGGAGCUUGCUCUUCUGGAUGAGUUGCGAACGGGUGAGUAACGCGUAGGUAACCUGCCUGGUAGCGGGGGAUAACUAUUGGAAACGAUAGCUAAUACCGCAUAAGAGUAGAUGUUGCAUGACAUUUACUUAAAAUGUGCAAUUGCAUCACUACCAGAGGGACCUGCGUUGUAUUAGCUAGUUGGGGGGGUAACGGCUUACCAAGGCGACGAUACAUAGCCGACCUGAGAGGGUGAUCGGCCACACUGGGACUGAGACACGGCCCAGACUCCUACGGGAGGCAGCAGUAGGGAAUCUUCGGCAAUGGACGGAAGUCUGACUGAGCAACGACGCGUGAGUGAAGAAGGUUUUCGGAGCGUAAAGCUCUGUUGUAAGAGAAGAACGAGUGUGAGAGUGGAAAGUUCACACUGUGACGGUAUCUUACCAGAAAGCGACGGCUAACUACGUG